rnacentral:rRNA from 1 species
CCUACGGGUGGCAGCAGUGAGGAAUAUUGGUCAAUGGGCGCGCGCCUGAACCAGCCAAGUCGCGUGAGGGAGGACGGCCCUACGGGUUGUAAACCUCUUUUGCCGGGGAGCAACGGGCGUCACGUGUGGCGCCACUGAGAGUACCCGGAGAAAAAGCAUCGGCUAACUCCGUGCCAGCAGCCGCGGUAAUACGGAGGAUGCGAGCGUUAUCCGGAUUUAUUGGGUUUAAAGGGUGCGUAGGCGGAUCGUUAAGUCAGGGGUAAAAUGGUGGGGCCCAACCCCUUCCCGCCAUUGAAACUGGCGCUCUUGAGUAGAAGUGAAGUAUGCGGAAUGCGUGGUGUAGCGGUGAAAUGCAUAGAUAUCACGCAGAACCCCGAUUGCGAAGGCAGCAUGCCGGCUUCCGACUGACGCUGAAGCACGAAAGCGUGGGGAUCGAACAGGAUUAGAUACCCGAGUAGUC